GCCGAGACUAGAGUCACAUCUUCACACGUGUGGUUGUCUGGGUGUGCUGUAGCUCUCGAACACAAACAGCUGAUCCCUGUUCACUGGCUGUGGUGUCUCGUACCUCAGCCGGCCACCGAAUCAGUGACACGA
rnacentral:snoRNA from 1 species